AACACUGUUUUUCCAACAUGUUUUUGUGUCACAUUUUUAGUACUAUUUUUUCAUUAAGGUAUGUACGUACAUUGCCUUUUUAAAGACAUGUUAUUGCCCACUUACAGUCAAGAGCAUAGUGCAAACAACCAAAUAAAAUGCUCUGUUUCACUAUACAGUGUCCCCGUAGCCCACCUCUGACUUGGCCAUUGAAUGGAAAAACAGAAGCUCCACUCUGGGCAGGAAAUAGGAUCACUGAAUUAAAACAGUGGGAACAUACUGGGAGAGGUUAAUGAAGCUUCUUUUGCUGACAACUCUUUUUGCCCAUAGGCUCCCCAAAAAGGCCACAAAGACAGCCCCACCUGCCCUGCCUACAGGUUAUGAUUCAGAGGAGGAGGAAGAGAGCAGGCCCAUGAGUUACGACGAGAAGCGGCAGCUGAGCCUGGACAUCAACAAAUUACCUGGGGAGAAGCUGGGCCGAGUUGUGCAUAUAAUCCAAGCCAGGGAGCCCUCUUUACGUGAUUCAAACCCAGAAGAGAUUGAGAUUGAUUUUGAAACACUCAAGCCAUCCACACUUAGAGAGCUUGAGCGCUAUGUCCUUUCCUGCCUACGUAAGAAACCCCGGAAGCCCUACAGUACGUAUGAAAUGAGGUUCAUCUCAUUGUUCUGAGGACAGUUCAGGAAAGAUGGGGUCUGUUCGCAUUCAGGAUUGUCAGCUCCUAGGAUAAUGGGAUGUGUUGGUUGGCUCCUGACGUUCAAGAAAGGAACUUGGGAACUUUAGGGUCCCAUAAUAAGAUGCUUCGGGCAAUCUUAAUGUAUCCUGGUAAAUUUCUUUCAUUAGCCAUUAAGAAGCCUGUGGGAAAGACAAAGGAGGAGCUGGCUUUGGAGAAAAAGCGGGAAUUAGAAAAGCGGUUACAAGAUGUUAGCGGACAGCUCAAUUCUACUAAAAAGCCCCCCAAGAAAGCAAGUGAGAAAACAGAGUCAUCCUCUGCACAGCAAGUAGCAGUGUCACGCCUUAGCGCUUCCAGCUCCAGCUCAGAUUCCAGCUCCUCCUCUUCAUCGUCGUCGUCUUCAGACACCAGUGAUUCAGACUCAGGCUAAGGGGUCAGGCCAGAUGGGGCAGGAAGGCUCCGCAGGACCGGACCCCUAGACCACCCUGCCCCACCUGCCCCUUCCCCCUUUGCUGUGACACUUCUUCAUCUCACCCCCCCUGCCCCCCUCUAGGAGAGCUGGCUCUACAGUGGGGGAGGGAUGCAGGGACAUUUACUGAAGGAGGGACAUGGACAAAAUGACAUUGAAUUCCUAGCCCCAUUGGGGAGUGAUCUCUUGGACACAGAGCCCCCAUUCAAAAUGGGGCAGGGCAAGGGUGGGAGUGUGCAAAGCCCUGAUCGGGAGUUACCUGAGGCCAUAGCUGCCAUAUUCACUUCUAAGGGCCCUGUUUUGAGAUUGUUUGUUCUAAUUUAUUUUAAGCUAGGUAAGGCUGGGGGGAGGGUGGGGCCGUGGUCCCCUCAGCCUCCAUGGGGAGGGAAGAAGGGGGAGCUCUUUUUUUACGUUGACUUUUUUUUUCUACUCUUUUCCCUUUUUCCUUCCGCUCCAUUUGGGGCCCUGGGGGUUUCAGUCAUCUCCCCAUUUGGUCCCCUGGACUGUCUUUGUUGAUUCUAACUU
rnacentral:sRNA from 1 species